rnacentral:rRNA from 1 species
GACGAACGCUGGCGGCGUGCUUAACACAUGCAAGUCGAACGGAAAGGCCCUGCUUUUGUGGGGUGCUCGAGUGGCGAACGGGUGAGUAACACGUGAGUAACCUGCCCUUGACUUUGGGAUAACCUCAGGAAACUGGGGCUAAUACCGGAUAGGAGCUCCUGCUGCAUGGUGGGGGUUGGAAAGUUUCGGCGGUUGGGGAUGGACUCGCGGCUUAUCAGCUUGUUGGUGGGGUAGUGGCUUACCAAGGCUUUGACGGGUAGCCGGCCUGAGAGGGUGACCGGCCACAUUGGGACUGAGAUACGGCCCAGACUCCUACGGGAGGCAGCAGUGGGGAAUAUUGCACAAUGGGCGGAAGCCUGAUGCAGCAACGCCGCGUGCGGGAUGACGGCCUUCGGGUUGUAAACCGCUUUCGCCUGUGACGAAGCGUGAGUGACGGUAAUGGGUAAAGAAGCACCGGCUAACUACGUGCCAGCAGCCGCGGUGAUACGUAGGGUGCGAGCGUUGUCCGGAUUUAUUGGGCGUAAAGGGCUCGUAGGUGGUUGAUCGCGUCGGAAGUGUAAUCUUGGGGCUUAGCCCUGAGCGUGCUUUCGAUACGGGUUGACUUGAGGAAGGUAGGGGAGAAUGGAAUUCCUGGUGGAGCGGUGGAAUGCGCAGAUAUCAGGAGGAACACCAGUGGCGAAGGCGGUUCUCUGGGCCUUUCCUGACGCUGAGGAGCGAAAGCGUGGGGAGCGAACAGGCUUAGAUACCCUGGUAGUCCACGCUGUAAACGGUGGGUACUAGGUGUGGGGUCCAUUCCACGGGUUCCGUGCCGUAGCUAACGCUUUAAGUACCCCGCCUGGGGAGUACGGCCGCAAGGCUAAAACUCAAAGGAAUUGACGGGGCCCCGCACAAGCGGCGGAGCAUGCGGAUUAAUUCGAUGCAACGCGUAGAACCUUACCUGGGUUUGACAUGGAUCGGGAGUGCUCAGAGAUGGGUGUGCCUCUUUUGGGGUCGGUUCACAGGUGGUGCAUGCCUGUCGUCAGCUCGUGUCGUGAGAUGUUGGGUUAAGUCCCGCAACGAGCGCAACCCUUGUUCACUGUUGCCAGCACGUUAUGGUGGGGACUCAGUGGAGACCGCCGGGGUCAACUCGGAGGAAGGUGGGGAUGACGUCAAGUCCUCGUGCCCCUUAUGUCCAGGGCUUCACGCAUGCUACAAUGGCUGGUACAGAGAGUGGCGAGCCUGUGAGGGUGAGCGAAUCUCGGAAAGCCGGUCUCAGUUCGGAUUGGGGUCUGCAACUCGACCUCAUGGAGUCGGAGUCGCUAGUAAUCGCAGAUCAGCAACGCUGCGGUGAAUACGUUCCCGGG